rnacentral:miRNA from 1 species
UACCCUGUAGAACCGAGCUUGU